AAAUGAUAGUUCAUUUUUUGGAUUCCACAUUCAUUUGCGCAAUCUAUCAAACACUUGGAAGAUAUCAGUUUGCAUGCCCGCCAUGACCAAGUGCAGCUUCGCCAAGCUUUCUCAUCUUGUGAAAGCAUAUGCAAAAACUAUGAAAAACACAAAUUGGCGUCCUACCUUGACAUACUUCAAUACAGUCUACAUCAGAAUGACAGUGGUGUACUGCAGCCACCUUGAAUGGAGUACUUGCAACUGCACAUUAAAAUAUUAAAAUAUUCAAUAUGGUCCGCAUCACAAUAUCAUUCGCCUUUACUUUGACUUUUUUAGAACUAUAGUCGACCCCAGUUUAUUUGAAACGAGAUCGUAGUUGUUAUUGAAUUGGGAUCGGUUAUAGUCCUUCUCAGAAGGUCAAAGUAAGGGCGAACACAUUGUCGAUAUGGGACAUUCUUAAACUCAAUAAGUAUAAAUUAUUUUCUAUGGAUGCUGGGAUUUGUUAUUUUUUAUAUAUAAUAUUAAAGAGAGAAACAAAAACAAAAGAGAAACAAACCUAUGAUGAUUAGUAACAAGGCAAUCAAGAAUGAAGACUUCACAAGAACCUUAGCCAUGUUUUUUCUCCACAGCUAUACUUUUUAAAG
rnacentral:lncRNA from 1 species